rnacentral:rRNA from 1 species
ACACCGGUGGCGAAGGCGGCCAUGAGCUGGACCAUNUGACUGACGCUGAGGCGCUGAGAAGCCGUGGGGCAGCAUGAACAGGAUNUAGAUACCCUGGUGAGUCCACGCCGUAAACGGAUGAAUGGCCAGGCUGGUUUGGGCGUGGCGUGGGACGCGGCAAGNAGGCGCNAGGCUGAACGGCNNUUGGAGCAUGGCCGCGCGUGGGGAGUACAGGUCGCCAAGAGAGUGUANAGACUCAAAGGGAAUGNGAGCGGGGGCCCGGCACANAGCGGUGGAGCAUGUGGUUUAAUUCGAAGCAACGCGCGAGAACCGUUACCAUCCUUUGUACAGUGGCAGNGUUACCCAGAGAGAUCUGGGGUCCCNCUUCGGGGGCGCGCACACAGGUGCAUGCAUGGCUGUCUGUCUAGCUUCGUGUCGUGAGAUGUUGGGUUAAGUCCCGCAUACGAGCGCAACCCACGUCNCUUGAGUUGCCAUCAUUCAGUUGGGCACUCUAGGGAGACUGCCAGGUGAUAAGCCGCGAGGAAGGUGUGGAUGACGUCAAGUCNCUCAUGGCCCUUACGGNGAUGGGCUACACACAGUGCUACAAUGCGCGGUGAACAGUGGGAGGCGAAGGAGCGAUCUGGAGCAAAUCCCCAAAAUGCCGUCUCAGUUCGGAUUUGCACUCUGCAACUCGAGUGCAUGAUACGGCGGNCUCUGUAUAGUCAUCUGG